GCAUGGUGAGUGAUUUAGAAGACCUGAGAAUUGAAGUAAGGGAGACCUGUCCCCCAGCAUCUAAGGACUGAGGGUAACCCCACCUAAGGGGGAUGAGGGUGUUGUAAACUGAAGUAAUGAGGCAGGAUUGGGGCCUAGAGGUCCAAUCAGGUACUCCGAGGAAGCCCAGGAGAUUUUAUACAAACUUGGUAAUCAGAGGAGAGAGGCUUUUGGAAGAGGCAUAGCAUCCAGUGCCCAGAUGCUAGCAGGCAGAGGUAUGACUUCAGGCAGUGGACCCCACCUUAAGGAACAACCCAGGUGCCAAUGAACAGCAGCAACAAGAGGAAAACAUGUCACAGAGAUGGCACAAAACAUGGAACAAACAUGAUGAUCACAAAGAUUAUAGAUACUGUAAUUAUAACUAUUUGUUAGAGGCAACUUAUUCCAUACCCACAGAGACAACUGAUGCAGAGAAGUAUAGCUAGAUCAGUCCUGGCCUUGGAUUCUUCCAGACAUUGAGUAGCUGAUGUUCAGUAUAAGUGACAUUAUGAAAAAAGAUAUUUAAAGGAGUGAGGAUAGGGUAGUUUGGAGAAGAUUAGCUUAUGAUAAAGGUAUCAGGACCACAGAUGACAGUCAAAAGGGGUAAUGAAACUGAUAACUGAUUAACAUAUUGCUGAUUGUCUGGAGCAAAGUGGGAUAAUAUAGAAACCCCUUCAAGUUAAGAUAUGUGCUGGAUACUGUACUAGUGAUUGGGCUAUGCAGCUCUCGGACGUGAGCAAUGGUGUGCCUUCGCUGUUGAUUGGUGGUACUAGUAAGAUGGGCAAUAUAUGUGACACUGGUAUUUCAAAGCCUAAUUUGUCCUGCCAACAUUUUUAGCAGUACUAAAGAGGAAGGGAAACCAACUCUCUCCAGAGAUGCUCAACACCUUGCAGGCUCACCUUAAAGGUGCACUUCAAACACUUAUGCACCUGAAUAGUCUCAUUCAAGUCAAUGGGAGCUACUUACAUGCAUAUUUUCAGUGUCAGAGCCUAAGAACAAGAACACUUUUUAAAAAGUAAGAAUCAUGCACCAUGAGAUGUAUUGUUAGUUUAUUUAGCAAAUGUAGUUUUAACAUUCAUUGUUUACUAUAAUAUAGAAAUAUUUUGUAGUGUAGUUUUCUAAAAAAAAAAAAAAGAGGUUGAUACAAUGGUCUGCUAAUCAACACCCACAUAAUUUGCUUACAAAAAUAAAUAAAUAGUGGUUUCUACCCACUUCCCAACAAAGACUUAUUAGAGAAAGUCAAAUGAUCAAGCUUCUACUUCACUUCCACUUUGGGAUCCUUUGUGCCCUAACACAGUGCUGGAAUAGUUGUGCUGCAAACUCUGUAGGGGAAUGUCCUGUACUUC